rnacentral:tRNA from 1 species
UAAAAGAAUAGUUUAUUUUAAAAUAUCAAAUUGUAAAUUUGAGGAAGUUUCUUUUG